AUGUAACAACUUUGACGGAUCCGAAACAUGAUAUUGUUUCAUGGAGCACAAUUAUCACAGGAUAUGGAAGUCAUGGAAAAGGGGAGAUAGAUGGCUUUAAAGCUGUAUUCGGAUUUUCUAAUUUCAUGGAAUCAACCAAAUCGUGUCAUUUUCCUUUCUGUUCUCUUCUCUUGUAGCCACAAUGGGAUGGUUUCUGAAGGUCUGAGCUUAUUCAAUUCUAUGACUCGGGAUUUUGGAAUUAAACCAGAACUUGAGCAUCGAGCUUGCAUCGUUGAUCUGCUCUGUCGAGCUGGAAAGAUUGGGGAGGCAUAUGAAUUCAUUUGGAAAAUGUUCUCUAACCCUACAACUGAUGUUUUGGGCAUACUUCUCGAUGCAUGUCGGAUGAAGGGUGAUGCUAAACUUGGAGAAAUUGUUGCAAGAGAUAUGAUGAUGCUGAAACCUGCAUGUGCUGGAAAUUAUGUACAACUAGCUCAUAGUUUUGCUGCUAUGAAUAGAUGGGAGGGGGUGAAUGAUGCAUGGACUCAAAUUAAGGCUCUUGGACUUAAAAAACUCCCAGGUUGGAGUCUGAGUUAAUUUGGUGACAGCAGUCUGAGUCAUUCAGUCAUCCUGAAGAUUCAUCUUCCAGCUGCUGUCUGGUACUGCAGACCUGUGUGCCAAUUACCAAGGUCUGGGGUAAAUUUCCCAAUCAAAGUAACAAUAAUUGAACAUAUAGUUGGUUAACUUGUGCAAAUAUAUAGGGAAGAUUUUAUUGUAGAAGUGAUUCUUUGACAGUAAAUCGGUUCACAUUAGAGAUGGGAAAUCGAUGCAGGUGUGAUUGUAUAGCUUCUACGGGUGAUUCUUUCAUCCGUAAUUUCUUCUACAGAUCAACCAUUUCUGCAGGUGUAUGUUCGAGUGUCACAAGUACGUAACUGGGAGGAAAGUCAUGCAGGAGACAAUUGUGAAAUGAUCUUCAUGUGAUGUAAGUAUCCAUCAUUCCAUCAUGAUCCUGUAAGUUAGUGAUUAAUAGAGUAUAUAUUCAAGUAAUUAUCCUUGUUUCUUGCGAGUAGUUAUAUAGCAUCAGAAUUCUGUCAUCUUGAAAGUAAUUUCUGGUAGUGAAAAUAUUUGCACAGCUACAAGUAUAAUAAGUUUGCAAACAUAUUUAGGCUAAACUUUCGACUGCCAGAUUAAUUAUAGAUAUAUUUAGGCUAAACUUUCGACUGCCAGAUUAAUUAUAGAUUUAUUUCAAGUGAAAUCAUGGCAGUUAUCAGAUUAGCUUAAGUUAUUGUUCUUGGUUAUUUUUACCUCAAUAAAAUACCUCAAAGCAUCAACUAAGUCGCUAUACAACCUGACAAUCUUUGCAAAGCUUAACAGUUUUGGUAAUAAUUAGGCUUUGACCAUGACAGUGGGAGGAAUGCUGAAUGAAGCUAUUAAUAAUUUUAAAUGACACUAAAUAUGGCUUAAUAGAGCUUUCAAAUGACACUAAAUAUGGCUUAACCAUGGUCAUUAAAAUUCCACCUAAAAAGGAUUAGGCUCCAAAUUCGAUCGUGAGCUCAGACGACAACAAAGUACCAAAUUACCAUCAUAAUGUGUAAGCCAAUUCCAGCGUUGAAUUUUAAAAUAGAGAGCUAGGCCACUGGUAAACUCUUGAGCACCUGUCUUUUGGUUGUGUCUACGGCAAGGCUGCUUUAGACCAGAUUAAGCAGUGGCUGGGGAUAAGAACUUCAAAAAUUGAUCUGUUAUACCUGCUGAAAUGGCUACAGAAGGACUACAAAGGCUCUAGAUUCAAGAAAA